UCCAGUUUGAGGGACCGGCCCCUCCCACCGGCCUAUUUGGAGCUCUGGGAGAAUCUGGCCACUGCAGGCUUCUGGAGCACAGGGUGAGAAAGCAGAGAUUGCUGGGAAGAAGAUAAGAGCCAAGCGCCGUUGCCAUCUGGAGACAAGUUUCUUGGCAACCGCAAAGGGACCCUCGUGCCGUGACCAACUUCAAUGCAGAAUGGAUCAGAGAGGGGAUGGUGAAUCCACCUAGCGCGCAAUCCUGUGUUUCCAAAAUGCAGCCCAAUCGAUAAUGCUGUUGCGCCCAGUGCUGUUGCACCCGUCAGGAGCACCCCUCACAUGGGAAGACCUUCUCGAGAUCACCCAGCGCUUGGACAAGACCUACAGCUCCCAUAGGUGCCGUUUCUCGGGAAGACCUUUGUACCUCGAAGAGGGACAUGUGAUCUCCGCAGGGUCUGGGCCGUGCUGGGCUCAAAAGGGAGGAUUGUUAAAAACAGCGUUCUGAGCAUAGCAGCUCUUGAUCUAAAUGACUCUGUUUUUGUCUCAGGAGGUCCCCCAUUUCAGGCGGGAUG